rnacentral:miRNA from 1 species
UUGCCACGCGCCAUCCAUUGAUU